rnacentral:rRNA from 1 species
CUUGAACGCUGGCGGCAGGCUUAACACAUGCAAGUCGAGCGGAGAUGAGGUGCUUGCACCUUAUCUUAGCGGCGGACGGGUGAGUAAUGCUUAGGAAUCUGCCUAUUAGUGGGGGACAACAUUCCGAAAGGAAUGCUAAUACCGCAUACGUCCUACGGGAGAAAGCAGGGGAUCUUCGGACCUUGCGCUAUAGAUGAGCCUAAGUCGGAUUAGCUAGUUGGUGGGGUAAAGGCCUACCAAGGCGACGAUCUGUAGCGGGUCUGAGAGGAUGAUCCGCCACACUGGGACUGAGACACGGCCCAGACUCCUACGGGAGGCAGCAGUGGGGAAUAUUGGACAAUGGGGGGAACCCUGAUCCAGCCAUGCCGCGUGUGUGAAGAAGGCCUUAUGGUUGUAAAGCACUUUAAGCGAGGAGGAGGCUACUGAGACUAAUACUCUUGGAUAGUGGACGUUACUCGCAGAAUAAGCACCGGCUAACUCUGUGCCAGCAGCCGCAGUAACAC